CGCAACGCGGGAGGCGUCGACACGCGGUCCACACCCUGGUCGCCGAGGGCCGCGCAGAGCCAAUGGCGAGACCGACCCGUCGAA
ncrna:unclassified sequences c-di-GMP-II-GAG riboswitch